UUCUCCAAAAUCAUCUAGGGUUUAGCUCCUCAUUCUCUUUCCGGCGCCGAAUCAGUGGCCGCCAUUGUAGAAUUGUGUAGUUUUAGUUUUUAUAUAUCAACUGUAUUUGUAUAUUUUGCACUUCGCAUUUCUAUAAGCUUCGCUAAAUUCUCAAAAUAGUGCAGUCUUACAGCGAUUAGUGCAUAAAGGAAAAGCUGAAUUUAUCAGCGGCGGCCAGACAACCGUUGAGAUGAAUCCACAGAUUGUGUUUGGGGAUUAUCCAAUGAUGGCAUUAAAUCUUUGAGACCUGAAUUAUCAAUUUUGAUGACACCUACAAGCAUUUUUUCUGACCUACAUCUUCGCAACUGUUCAUAUUGUUGUACAAGUGUAACCUAUAAAGACUUAUAUCAUAUGAUGUUUUAGAGAUAAAUAGUUGUGUCUUUAUCAUAUAUGAGGAUUUAGAUAUAUAAUAGUUGUUUCUUUAUCCUAUGAGGAUUUAGCUAUGUAAUAGUUGUUUCUUUAUCAUAUAUGAGGUUUUAGAGAUGUAAUAGUUGUUUCUUACUAUAUGUGUGGAUUCAAUCAUUUGAGAUCAAUAAAUUUCACAUUUUGUUUUAUACUCCUUGUAGUUAUAAUAUUUUGAUGGUACACUAUUGAAAUUGGGGCGAGUUUUUCAGUACUCGUAUAACCCAAUGUAUCUAUAUCAUCAUAUAAUAAUCUGUCUUUGUUGAUUUAGCAGUUUGUUUUUUCUGUUUUCCUUCGGGGGAAGACAGUUGAAUCCUGCGUUUUAAUCCGAAGAUGGAGAUCUCAUAUCCUAUUGCCUUGUGGAGCGGAAUCUCUGCAAUUACUAUUUGGGAUUGACCAUGAGAAAUACAUUCAUUUCAACUAAUUUUUAUAUGUUUGUCUUGUUAUGAAAUCUAUUAUAAAGAUCAUCAUUUUUGUCAAUUCUGCAAUUCCGAGUCCUUCAUCAAUGAGUAUCUAUUAGUUUUUCUCAUUCAAACUUUGUUAGGAAAAUUGAUUUUUUUUCUUGUGUUUGAGAUGGAACUGAUGAAUAUUUCCCCAGAUGAUCGAAGCUGAAAUUACUGAGCGCUUUUUAUGUAUUUUCUCCUUAUAGGGGAAAAUCCAAGCCAGAUAUUCUGAUCCGUCUCCGUUUAUAUGAAAAAGUUUUGAUCUUUUUUUUUGUUUUUGAACUAGUUUGAUUGAUUUUACUAUAUUUUCUCCUUAUAGGGGAUAAUCCAAGCCAGAUAUUCUGAUCCAUAUACCAAUUUAUGUUUUGCUUUUGUUAAGUUCUGUUCUUUCUUAUUGUAUAUCAGUGCAUUUUGUACAAUUUGUGAUGAUUUACAUUGAUAUGGGACAAGUUCUUCUGUAUUGUAUGACUCGUAAUGCUAAAAUCAUUGCACAGUGUUCUUUUCUUUGUCGAUGUAUAAAGUGUUUGGAUAUAUUUUUUCUUCAAAUAAUUUGUUUGAUUGAAUUAUGAUGUGUAAGGAUGAUGAAGAAAUCAUUCGGAUUCCCACUGAUGUAUAUACGUGAUUACUACAACCAGCUACUUCUGACUUCACAUCAAUUCUCUAUGUUUUCAAGUAUUUUUUUUUGCGUAUUUGGGGAUUUCCAGUGAUGGCAUGAAAUCUUUGAGACCUGAAUUCUCAAUUUUGAUGACAACUACAAGCAAUUUUUCUGAGGAUUUUCCCCAUUGUUUUUUAAGGCUGACAUUUUUUCAACUGUUAAUAUUGAUCUAUUAUGUUAGGUUUUAAAGAUGUGUUCUACUAAUCUCAAAACCAGCCAUUUGAAUGUAGUACAACUGAUUCACCUGUUGCAACAUGUCAACCACCCUUAUUAAUGGAGGAACUUGGGUGACAAUGCUACGCACUUUAACGGAGCAGAACAUGGUGGUGGACAGGCUUAGCAGGGAAAGCCUCAAUUGCUGAAAUUUUGGAAGACCAACAUUUUUCAUAGUUCCUCUACUGUUUUCAAGUAGAGUAGUAUAGACAUUUGGGAACUAUGUAUGUACUCAAGAAAGCUUUGAAUUUUUGUAUCUCUUUGUUAAAACUACUUAAUAUGAUGCCUCACAAUUUAUAUUGGUAA